rnacentral:rRNA from 1 species
UGAUGAAGAAGCUUGCUUCUUCUGAUUUAGCGGCGGACGGGUGAGUAACACGUGGGCAACCUGCCCUGUAGAUUGGGAUAACUCCGGGAAACCGGGGCUAAUACCGAAUAAUCCAUUUCCUCUCAUGGGGAAAUGUUAAAAGACGGUCUCGGCUGUCACUACAGGAUGGGCCCGCGGCGCAUUAGCUAGUUGGUGAGGUAACGGCUCACCAAGGCGACGAUGCGUAGCCGACCUGAGAGGGUGAUCGGCCACACUGGGACUGAGACACGGCCCAGACUCCUACGGGAGGCAGCAGUAGGGAAUCUUCCACAAUGGACGAAAGUCUGAUGGAGCAAUGCCGCGUGAGUGAAGAAGGUUUUCGGA